CCAGCCUGCCCAGUGACAAAGUUCAACGGCCUCGGUACCCUAACCGCGCGAAGGUAGCAUAAUCACUUGUUCUCUAAAUAAGGACUAGUAUCAACGGCAUCACGAGAGCUAGACUGUCUCCCCUCUCUAAUCAAUGAACCUGAUCUCUUCGUGAAGAAGCGAAGAUGUACAUAUAAGACGAGAAGACCCCAUGGAGCUUAAACUAAAUAACACCCUAUUACACAUAAACAUUAAAAUUAGAAACCUGUCAACUAGUUUUUGGCUGGGGCAUCCGAGGAGUAAAACAAAACCUCCCUGACAAAUUAUCUUAGAGCCACAACUCCAAGAAGUAGUAAACUAAUGUAAUAUGACCCGACAAUCGAUCAACGAACCAAGUUACCCUGGGGAUAACAGCGCAAUCCAUUUCAAGAGCUCCUAUCGACAAAUGGGUUUACGACCUCGAUGUUGGAUCAGGGUAUCC
rnacentral:rRNA from 1 species